rfam:Myotis lucifugus cont2.2591, whole genome shotgun sequence.
UGUGCACCAGAGGGGUCCCUCAGCCUGGCCUGCACCCUCUCACAAUCCAGGACCCCGCAAGCGAUGUCAGAGAGCUGUUUUUGGCCUGAUCAUGCAGGCCAGGCCGAGGGACCCCACUGGUGCAUG